UUAGGGAGCAGAGCGACCUGCCACAUCCAGUGCCUUGCAGAAGUCCUCACACCAGCACCUUGCAAUUAAGCAAGCGUGGUGCUCUGCAGAGAGCACGGAACGCAGUCGCUCACUGAUUUUCUGAUGAAGCACCAGAGCUUUGCUUACUGCUCCACUUUCACCUGCAGAACGUGACGCCUGCUUCUCGAAGCAAAGGCUCUGCUCAGGUCACAUGAAACUCAAAAAUAACAAGAAAAUCCAUUGGAGUUUAAGGAGAAAUAUCCUGAUGAGAAUCCUCCCUUCCAUUUAGUUUCCAGUGCAGCUUAACUCUGAGUGUGCUGAAGCUUGAAAUGUAGCUUCCGAUUUAUAAUAGCGACAGGACAUGCAGCAAAUGUCAACAAAUCCCCUGUCACCCAGGCAAGGAGGAAAUGUGAGAGAAAUGUCCAAGUCUCCUAAUAAAGGCGGGAAAGCUGCAAGUGAGCCACAAUGGAUGCAAGAUGAUGAAGCUCCAAUUGGAAAGGAAGAAUAUGUUCACAGUAGAUGAGAGUGUGGCAGCUGUUUUAGGUCCUCGACUACUGCAUGGAUGUUUUCUGUAGCAUCAGCUCUGUUGCCACUCCUCACCAUUCAUCUGCAAAAGCUGCACAUACCUGACUCACCUGCCCUUUUUUAGGGUGACUUCAGUGGGUCCUGGAGAAUAAGAAUUACCAAAGCUGCACUUUCAUUGUGCAUGUGAUUAGUAAUAAUCAUAGGUAUCUGAGGAGAGCAUCCAGUAAGGAAAUCACCUAAAGAGCAGGAGUCUCCAGGACCUGUGUGGAGGGGGGAAGGAAUAAACAAAGAACUGAGUAGAGUGAAUGUGUCACAAAUUACCACAAACACACUGUGACUCAAUGCACUUUUCAUUUCUCUCCUCAUUAACUGUGUCUUGCUCAAAAUGAGAGACUGGGUCUAAACAUAAUCAAGUCCCACAGAUAACAAUUGACUUGACUGCUGGGGCAGUCAUCACCUUCUAGCUACUGGGAAAUAAAUUUAGAAAUAAAAUGAGUUAAAAUAAAAUUCACUCUGCUCUCUUUUCUGUGCUCAGAUAAUUUGAAGGCCAUCAAGGCCUGCAGAAACAAUCCAUCUCUCUGUGAAAAGGAAAGCAGCCUGUGCCACUACCAAUAAGGCAUGUCUUUAGUGUUAUCAAGAGUAAGUAUAAUUACACAGUGGAAAGGCCAUCAAAGUGUCUUGGGUGCUGGUAUUUUUUU